UCCGGUUUAACACCGGCAGUCUCUCUAGAGUCCCCAACUUAAUGCUGGUAACUAGAGACAAGGGUUGCGCUCGUUAUCGGACUUAACCGGACAUCUUACGACACGAGCUGACGACAGCCAUGCAGCACCUAUCUCCGCGUCCCCGAAGGGAACCAACCAUCUCUGGCUGUAGCACGGGAUGUUAAGGGUAGGUAAGGUUCUGCGCGUUGCUUCGAAUUAAACCACAUACUCCACCGCUUGUGCGGGCCCCCGUCAAUUCCUUUGAGUUUUAGCCUUGCGACCGUACUCCCCAGGCGGGAUACUUAAUGCGUUAGCUUCAGUACUCAGGAUUUUAAGGUCCCAAACACCGAGUAUCCAUCGUUUACGGCGUGGACUAC
rnacentral:misc_RNA from 1 species